GUUCUUUCCAUCUUCUGUUCUGCCAUGGUGGUGCCUUGGCUUUGUGGUCAGGUUGGUUCCCCACAUAGAUGCCAAAAGACUGCACAGGUACUAAUUAUCAUGUCUAGUUGCGACAACAUCCAGCAGGACAAAUGGAUUGUGUCUUCUUUGUGACGUGAUAUUUGAGACCUGACCAUUUAAAGAGAAGUCUUGGGCUGUAUAUUAACGCUUUGAGUCUAUCUGACUGAGGACUUCAGUUUCCCAUCAUUCAGGGGGCAAAUGAAGCACUGGAAGUGGAAAACAUUGCUCGCCUCACAGGAAUUGCCUUGACUAAUUGAGUAACGUAGGAGUUCCAGGACACAGAGUUUCAUUCACAUGGACAGUUUACAACUUUAACUGGUUUGUUUGUGUGUGUGUAUCUGUGCCUCUGAUGAAAGGGCACACCGAGGUGACCAGUCGUAUACUUCUGACCUGAGCAUCCUUCGACCUGGCUGCCUGAAGUUUGGCAAGGAAUAGAACCAUCCCCAUAAUCGGAGCCAGAGAUGGGGAAAAAGGUAGAACUGGGAAAUUGCUCCUUCUCCCUUGCGAGGUGAUGCUCCUCUGAAGCAUCCAGGACCAAGAAGGGGCUGGGAAUGAUAGGAGACCAUUCAGGGGACUCACAACAGUAGCUAUAAUGGACUAUAACUCCAAUGGCGUCAGAGGGCUCACCUCCUGGGAGAGCUUCGAGUCUCCUGCAGUCACAGAGGCCAAGUUCCUCAGCUCCAAGCAACAUCAUGCCUCAACCCAUACUUGAGUGAAAAUUCAGGGAGGUAUAUGGACAAUCAGAAGUGCAGAUGGUUUAACCAGGAUAUAAUCUGGAUAAGUUUGACCAGCUGAGGAUAAUUGAAUUUAAGGAAAUGGAAAAUAUAACAUCACUCUAUUCUACAAUAAAUCGAGUAAUGAAGACUUAGAAGCCAUUUGGACCAGAAGUAGGUUUGCUUCACCUGGCGAAAGCAAAUUUGUCACAGUGAUAUCCUGAGCUGCUAAAUACACUAAUAGAGAAGCUGAUCAUACAGUAUUUCAUUUUGUAAAUGUAUCAAAUAGCUCUCUUUAAUAUAUACCAAGUCCAUUCAUUAAACAAUCAUCACUGUAAAAAAAUCGAUGUUUGAAAUAGUGAUAACAAA
rnacentral:lncRNA from 1 species